GAUGAACGCUGGCGGCGUGCCUAAUACAUGCAAGUCGAGCGAACAGACGAGGAGCUUGCUCCUCUGACGUUAGCGGCGGACGGGUGAGUAACACGUGGAUAACCUACCUAUAAGACUGGGAUAACUUCGGGAAACCGGAGCUAAUACCGGAUAAUAUAUUGAACCGCAUGGUUCAAUAGUGAAAGACGGUUUUGCUGUCACUUAUAGAUGGAUCCGCGCCGCAUUAGCUAGUUGGUAAGGUAACGGCUUACCAAGGCAACGAUGCGUAGCCGACCUGAGAGGGUGAUCGGCCACACUGGAACUGGGACACGGUCCAGACUCCUACGGGAGGCAGCAGUAGGGAAUCUUCCGCAAUGGGCGAAAGCCUGACGGAGCAACGCCGCGUGAGUGAUGAAGGUCUUCGGAUCGUAAAACUCUGUUAUUAGGGAAGAACAAAUGUGUAAGUAACUAUGCACGUCUUGACGGUACCUGAUCAGAAAGCCACGGCUAACUACGUG
rnacentral:rRNA from 1 species